UGUCCUACGGGAGGCAGCAGUAGGGAAUCUUCCACAAGGGGGGAAAGUCUGAUGGAGCAACGCCGCGUGAGUGAAGAAGGGUUUCGGCUCGUAAAACUCUGUUGUUAAAGAAGAACACUUCUGAGAGUAACUGUGCAGAAGUGACGGUCCAGCCGAA
rnacentral:rRNA from 1 species